GGGCAUUUUGGGUUGAGGAGGGGAACCUACAGGCGACAAGAUUUCACUCGGAGGGAGUUCAAGGACUCGAUCGGAAAGAUAAAAUGGGCUGACCGGAGCAGAAAAGGGAAAAGAAUCUCCUCAAAACGUUACCCGUCUGACCAGUAGGUUAUUUCCAAGAAAUUAACAGCUCAGUCCGGCAAGCUACGGCCCGGAACAGAUGGUCAGUAAGCUUCUUUCUUAGUGUUCAAUCUAUGACGAUCCAUAGGAUGCCAAUUACCGUGAUAAGUGGGAAGAGUUUUUAUGCUGCUCAAGAGUCCUGAACUCGGGGUUAUAGCUGGUGAGUGAAUGUGAAGCUGUCUUUGAUGCAGCUGGCAAGUCCAAUAAUGCGCACUUGGUAGAAGAGUCCGAUGUGCCAUUGAUGAGACCCUUCGUCCG
rnacentral:lncRNA from 1 species